rnacentral:rRNA from 1 species
AACGAACGCUGGCGGCAUGCCUAACACAUGCAAGUCCACGAGACCUUCGGGUCUAGUGGCGCACGGGUGCGUAACGCGUGGGAACCUGCCCUUAGGUUCGGAAUAACUCCCCGAAAGGGGUGCUAAUACCGGAUAAUGUCUUCGGACCAAAGAUUUAUCGCCUUUGGAUGGGCCCGCGUUGGAUUAGCUAGUUGGUAGGGUAAAAGCCUACCAAGGCGACGAUCCAUAGCUGGUCUGAGAGGAUGAUCAGCCACACUGGGACUGAGACACGGCCCAGACUCCUACGGGAGGCAGCAGUGGGGAAUAUUGGACAAUGGGCGAAAGCCUGAUCCAGCAAUGCCGCGUGAGUGAUGAAGGCCUUAGGGUUGUAAAGCUCUUUUACCCGGGAUGAUAAUGACAGUACCGGGAGAAUAAGCUCCGGCUAACUCCGUG